CAACUGAUAACACACACAUCGCAUAUUCAGGUAAUGCAGCUCAACUUUUUGCUGCUUAAAACCUCAUCCUUUUUUAUGCUUUUUGUCAGCCUCAUUUUUUCUGUUUCAUAGUCUCUCACAUGUGUUUUAUAUCUUCAUUUCUUUAUAUCCUGCUGUGUUUUUACACCAACAUAAAAUGUUUUUCCUUUUUUUACUUCAAGUUAACUGUUAUUUUUAUGUAAAACAAAAACAGGAGCAUGCAAAGAGCCUGCGCGAGAGUCUAACUUACUACAUGGUCGCUCACCCUUGCAAUGAAAACCUGAUGCCAGAAACCAAACAAAUCUUAAGAAAAUAUGGUAAGUUCCAUUCGACUACUCGACUCCAGGGUAUUCUCCAUGGGGUCCUGUUGCACAACAAUGUUAACUACAUCUGGCUGGAAACAGGUCAGAUUCUUAAGAACACCUCACAAAAUCAGCACUGGAAUCCUUGCCCUUUUUCUCAGUUUCAUUUUUUUAGGGAAGCCACAUGACCAAAUACCGAAAUAUAUCAUAUAUAGACCAUAAUCUUUUUUCAGAAUAGCUAAGCUAAUUUUCUAAUAUAAAAAGGUCGCAUUUUAUACUGGGAGUUGAAACCAUGCCUGUACCCUCAUUUUCCUUUUUCCAUUGAAACUUUCUUGACGCCAUCCUGUCUUAGCGUAACGCGACACCACUGCCACCCUAUCUUAGCGUAACGCGACACUACUGCCACCCUGUCUUAGCGUAACCCGAGUCGAGGCGG